GAUGAACGCCGGCGGCGUGCUUAACACAUGCAAGUCGAACGAAGCACUUUAUUUGAUUUCCUUCGGGACUGAUUAUUUUGUGACUGAGUGGCGGACGGGUGAGUAACGCGUGGGUAACCUGCCUUGUACAGGGGGAUAACAGUUGGAAACGGCUGCUAAUACCGCAUAAGCGCACAGCAUCGCAUGAUGCAGUGUGAAAAACUCCGGUGGUAUAAGAUGGACCCGCGUUGGAUUAGCUAGUUGGUGAGGUAACGGCCCACCAAGGCGACGAUCCAUAGCCGGCCUGAGAGGGUGACCGGCCACAUUGGGACUGAGACACGGCCCAAACUCCUACGGGAGGCAGCAGUGGGGAAUAUUGCACAAUGGGCGAAAGCCUGAUGCAGCGACGCCGCGUGAGCGAAGAAGUAUUUCGGUAUGUAAAGCUCUAUCAGCAGGGAAGAUAAUGACGGU
rnacentral:rRNA from 1 species